GCAAAAAACGCUGUGGUGAAAAGGGAGGAGGCAGGUGCCCCCAUGUUGUUUUCCACAACUGUUCUAUCAAUCUACAGUUCACCAUCAGGAUACCAGAGUUCUCCUUCCUCUUGUCUUACUCCCACCAACAACUCUUCCUAUUGAUGAUGGCAAUCCCUAGAGCAAUGAGUGGUUUCUUUGACUACUCAACAGCCUGUGAUCCCAAAAGAUGAGACCAAAAUACAGGAACACUCAAGACAGACAAAUAGACAAGCUGUGAAAACACACAACAGAACCAAUCAACACUGGGCCUCCCUCCUCCUAUGCUACUGAAGAGCUAAAACAGUUAUCAUAGAAGCAAGCAAGGAAGGAAGGAAGGGAGGAAGGAAGGAAGGAAGGAAGGAAGAAAGAAAGAAAAAGAAAGAAAGAAA